rnacentral:rRNA from 1 species
GUGGGGAAUUUUGGACAAUGGGCGCAAGCCUGAUCCAGCAAUGCCGCGUGCAGGAAGAAGGCCUUCGGGUUGUAAACUGCUUUUGUACGGAACGAAACGGUCCUGGUUAAUACCCGGGGCUAAUGACGGUACCGUAAGAAUAAGCACCGGCUAACUACGUGCCAGCAGCCGCGGUAAUACGUAGGGUGCAAGCGUUAAUCGGAAUUACUGGGCGUAAAGCGUGCGCAGGCGGUGCUGUAAGACAGGCGUGAAAUCCCCGGGCUUAACCUGGGAAUUGCGCUUGUUACUGCAGUGCUGGAGUGCGGCAGAGGGGGAUGGAAUUCCGCGUGUAGCAGUGAAAUGCGUAGAUAUGCGGAGGAACACCGAUGGCGAAGGCAAUCCCCUGGGCCUGCACUGACGCUCAUGCACGAAAGCGUGGGGAGCAAACAGGAUUAGAAACCCGUGUAGUCC